rnacentral:misc_RNA from 1 species
CACCACUCAAGCAAUGCUUGGUAUUGGGCAUCGUCCGUCGAAAGGCGGGCGUGCCUCGAAGACCUCGGCGGGGUUUCACCAACUUCGGGCGUAGUAGAGUUAAAUCGAACGUCUUAUAAGUCUGGGGGAGUCUCAUUGCCGUUAAACCUUUUAUUUUCUAGGUUGACCUCGGAUCAGGUAGGGAUACCCGCUGAACUUAA